GGCAGUGUGGUGCAGUGGUUAGAGCGCUGGACUAUAUCCUGGGGGGGGGGAGAGACCAGGGUUCGAAUUCCCCCACUUGGCCA